GGCUCGGUGGUGUAAUUGAAGCACAGUCCACUCGUAUGGUUAGUUUGCGACCCUAUGAAACUUCAAAUACGAGUGGAAUUGAAUGGGUUCGAAUCCCAUCCGGGUCA